GUGUCAGCCGCCGCGGUAAUACGUAGGUGGCGAGCGUUAUCCGGAUUUACUGGGCGUAAAGGGAGCGUAGGCGGAUGAUUAAGUGGGAUGUGAAAUACCCGGGCUCAACUUGGGUGCUGCAUUCCAAACUGGUUAUCUAGAGUGCAGGAGAGGAGAGUGGAAUUCCUAGUGUAGCGGUGAAAUGCGUAGAGAUUAGGAAGAACACCAGUGGCGAAGGCGACUCUCUGGACUGUAACUGACGCUGAGGCUCGAAAGCGUGGGGAGCAAACAGGAUUAGAAACCCGGGUAGUCC
rnacentral:rRNA from 1 species